GGAUGUGAAAGUUAUUUGGCUGCAAUCUGUUGUUACCCCAUUGAUUGCCAGGAUUUAUUCAACUCAUCUGCUGACAAGGUGGGUGUCUCCUUCUUCCUCAUCUUUUCCUGUGUGUUCCUCCUGUUCAACCAAGAUGGGUGCUUGGUUGAAGAGGAUGACUUUCUCUAGAAGAGAACUGAUUUCAGUUGACUGCAACUCCCUUAUUAGAACUCCAGACAGGCUUUGCAAGGUCCAUUGUAGGAGGAUAAAGGGUUAAAAAUAGUUUGUAGUUUUGAUGCAGUCUAAUUUAUUUCUUCUUUUAUU
rfam:Ictidomys tridecemlineatus contig024105, whole genome shotgun sequence.